GAUGAACGCUGGCGGCGUGCCUAAUACAUGCAAGUCGAGCGAACAGACGAGGAGCUUGCUCCUCUGACGUUAUCGGCGGACGGGUCAGUAACACGUGGAUAACCUACCUAUAAGACUGGGAUAACUUCGGGAAACCGGAGCUAAUACCGGAUAAUAUAUUGAACCUCAUUGUUCAAUAGUUAAAGACGGUUUUGCUGUCACUUAUAGAUGGAUCCGCGCCGCAUUAACUAGUUGGUAAGGUAACGGCUUAACAAGGCGACGAUGCGUAGCCGACCUGAGAGGGUGAUCGGCCACCCGGGAAGUGAGACACGGCCCAGACUCCUACGGGAGGCAGCAGUAGGGAAUCUUACGCAAUGGGCGAAAGCCGGACGGAGCAACGCCGCGUGAGUGAUGAAGGUCUUCGGAUCGUAAAACUCUGUUAUUAGGGAAGAACAAAUGUGUAAGUAACUAUGAACGUCUUGACGGUACCUAAUCAGAAAGCCACGGCUAACUACGUG
rnacentral:rRNA from 1 species